rnacentral:rRNA from 1 species
GACGAACGCUGGCGGCGUGCCUAAUACAUGCAAGUAGAACGCACAGUUUAUACCGUAGCUUGCUACACCAUAGACUGUGAGUUGCGAACGGGUGAGUAACGCGUAGGUAACCUGCCUGGUAGCGGGGGAUAACUAUUGGAAACGAUAGCUAAUACCGCAUAAUAUUAAUUAUUGCAUGAUAAUUAAUUGAAAGGUGCAAUUGCACCACUACCAGAUGGACCUGCGUUGUAUUAGCUAGUAGGUGAGGUAACGGCUCACCUAGGCGACGAUACAUAGCCGACCUGAGAGGGUGAUCGGCCACACUGGGACUGAGACACGGCCCAGACUCCUACGGGAGGCAGCAGUAGGGAAUCUUCGGCAAUGGACGAAAGUCUGACCGAGCCACGCCGCGUGAGUGAAGAAGGUUUUCGGAUCGUAAAGCUCUGUUGUAAGAGAAGAACGGGUGUGAGAGUGGAAAGUUCACACUGUGACG